GAGACAGCCAAAUGCAGCCAGGUUGAAGGAGUACAAGCCAGCUGCAGAAGAGACCUGUGUGUGAACGUCCCGGAAGUCCCGUGUACCAGAUACGGCCUGAACACCAGGACGGCCCAGAGAAGACCAUUCAUAGGAACAGUCUUAGGGCAUGCCCCUGGACCACGACCCUGCCAACAGCCCCCGAAGAGAUUCCACAACCCCAACCUGUACACUUAGAACCAAGAGGAUUACUAGGGGUACGUGCAGUGUUGACAAUGUCUAUUCUGAGCUUACUGUCAGGGGCAUAAGAUGAGCACAGAAUACCACAGAAUCUCACAGUAACCCAUAACACCGAUGAAAACAACUGGAGUCAUGUUGCCCUGUCUUCCAUUCUCACAGUAUAUUAUCUGCAUAUUAUCUGAUUAAUAAUAACAUAUUUCUGAGAGCUACGCAUGUGGAAAUUAAUUAAACUACUUAUUAACAACCAUAUAUGGAAAUUGUUUGUAUUUGAAAUGUUGCAUGUCUUGUGCUUGAGGGAUGAAACUCUCAUGUAUAUUAUGUGUUUAUUUAGCAGACGCCUUUAUCCAAGGCGACUUACAGAGACUAGGGUGUGUGAACUAUGCAUCAGCUGCAGAGUCACUUACAACUACGUCUCACCCGAAAGACAGAGCACAAGGAGGUUAAGUGACUUGCUCAGGGUCACACAAUGAGUCAGUGAGUGAGUCGGGAUUUGAACC